CCUACGGGUGGCAGCAGUGAGGAAUAUUGGUCAAUGGACGAGAGUCUGAACCAGCCAAGUAGCGUGAAGGAUGAAUGCCCUACGGGUUGUAAACUUCUUUUAUAUGGGAAUAAAAUGUUCCACGUGUGGCAUUUUGUAUGUACCAUAUGAAUAAGGAUCGGCUAACUCCGUGCCAGCAGCCGCGGUAAUACGGAGGAACCGAGCGUUAUCCGGAUUUAUUGGGUUUUAAGGGGGCGUAGGUGGAUUGUUAAGUCAGUUGUGAAAGUUUGCGGCUCAAACGUAAAAUUGCAGUUGAAACUGGCAGUCUUGAGUACAGUAGAGGUAGGCGGAAUUCGUGGUGUAGCGGUGAAAUGCUUAGAUAUCACGAAGAACUCCGAUUGCGAAGGCAGCUCACUGGACUGCAACUGACACUGAGGCUCGAAAGUGUGGGUAUCAAACAGGAUUAGAUACCCUAGUAGUC
rnacentral:rRNA from 1 species